rnacentral:rRNA from 1 species
AAUAGAUACCCAGGUAGUCCACGCUGUAAACGAUGAUAACUAGCUGUCCGGGUUCAUGGAAUUCGGGUGGCGCAGCUAACGCAUUAAGUUAUCCGCCUGGGGAGUACGGUCGCAAGAUUAAAACUCAAAGGAAUUGACGGGGGCCUGCACAAGCGGUGGAGCAUGUGGUUUAAUUCGAAGCAACGCGCAGAACCUUACCAACGUUUGACAUCCCUAUCGCGGUUACCAGAGAUGGUUUCCUUCAGUUCGGCUGGAUAGGUGACAGGUGCUGCAUGGCUGCCGUCAGCUCGUGUCGUGAGAUGUUGGGUUAAGUCCCGCAACGAGCGCAACCCUCGCCUUUAGUUGCCAGCAUUUAGUGGGUACUCUAAAGGAACCGCCGGUGAUAAGCCGGAGGAAGAUGGGGAUGACGUCAAGUCCUCAUGGCCCUUACGCGUUGGGCUACACACGUGCUACAAUGGCGACUACAGUGGGCAGCUAUCCCGCGAGGGUGAGCUAAUCUCCAAAAGUCGUCUCAGUUCGGAUUGUUCU